CCCUAAUUUUUAUUAAUAAUCCCUUCACUUUAGAGUAAUUCAAAUAAGGUACAGCCUAUUUGACUAAGGACUCAACCUUUACAAACGGGUAACAACUAAUUCACACCCCUAAGUGGGCCUAAGAGCAGCCAUCUUAUUAAAAGCGUUAAAGCUUAGCCGUGUUAAUCUUAAUCCCCCACCCUCUAUCGACCCCUUCUUCACUACUGAGAGCUUCUAUAAAAUAUAGAACCCUUAAUGCUAAAACUAGUAACAAGAGGAAAACCCCUCUCUACCAUGCAAACGUAAGCCAGAAAGAACCUCUCACUGGCACUUAACGAACACAAAUAGUAACUCUCAAGAAAAUCCUAUUUUACCAUCCGUUAACCUAACACAAGAGCAUACCAAGAAAGAUUAAAAGAAAAAGAAGGAACUCGGCAAACCUUAACUCCGCCUGUUUACCAAAAACAUCACCUCUUGCCCCCUAACCGUGCGAAGGUAGCGUAAUCACUUGUCCUCUAAAUAGGGACUAGUAUGAAAGGCUUCACGAGGGUUAGACUGUCUCCUCUUUCUAAUCAGUAAACCUAAUCUCCCCGUGAAGAAGCGGGGGUAAUUUUAUAAGACGAGAAGACCCCAUGGAGCUUUAAACACUCUUACACAUGCCACAUUUCAUACCCUAACCCUAUCAUGUGACAUGAUGUUUAAAUGUUUUAGGUUGGGGUGACCGCGGGGAACAACAUAUCCCCCGCGAUGGAUGGGGAUUUCCCCUAAACCAUAAGCCACAACUUUAAGUAUCAAAAACCUGACAUCCUUUGACCCAAUUAUUGAUCAACGAACCAAGUUACCCUGGGGAUAACAGCGCAAUCCACCUCGAGAGCCCUUAUCGACAGGUGGGCUUACGACCUCGAUGUUGGAUCRGGGUAUCCUGGUGGUGUAGCCGCUACUAAGGGUUCGUUUGUUCAACGAUUAAAACCCCACGUGAUCUGAGUUCAGACCGGAGUAAUCCAGGUCAGUUUCUAUCUAUAACAGAGCUUUUUUCAGUACGAAAGGACCAAAACAGCAUGGCCUAUAUAUCAACAAGCCAUAGUUAAUUAUUUUAGACUUACUCUUAAAAAAUUAUUAACCUUUACCGACCCUGUUAACGUAGCAUAUCCCGGUUUUGCAAAAGACCUAAGUCCUUUCAACAGAGGUUCAAAUCCUCUCGCUA
rnacentral:rRNA from 1 species